rnacentral:tRNA from 1 species
GGUCGGUUAGCUCAGUUGGUUAGAGCGUGGUGCUAAUAUCCAAAUGUUAACGCCAAGGUCGCGGGUUCGACCCCCGUACUGACCA